rnacentral:rRNA from 1 species
GUGGCGGACGGGUGCGUAACGCGUAAGAAUCUACCCCUUGGAGAAGGAUAACAUUGGGAAACUAUUGCUAAUACUUCAUAUCGCUGAGGAGUGAAACAUAGGUAACUAUGGCCAGGGGAGGAGCUUGCGUCUGAUUAGCUAGUUGGUGGGGGUAACGGCCUCCCAAGGCCACGAUCAGUAGCUGGUCUGAGAGGAUGAUCAGCCACACUGGAACUGAGAAACGGUCCAGACUCCUACGGGAGGCAGCAGUGAGGAAUUUUCCGCAAUGGGCGAAAGCCUGACGGAGCAAUGCCGCGUGAAGGAUGAAGGUCCGUGGAUCGUAAACUUCUUUUACCAAAAAAGAAAAAAAUGACGGUAUUUGGUGAAUAAGCUCCGGCUAACCCUGUGCCAGCAGCCGCGGUAAUACAGGGGGAGCAAGCGUUAUCCGGAAUGAUUGGGCGUAAAGUGUCUGUAGGUCGCAUCUAAAGUCCACUGUUAAAUACCAGGACUCAACCUUGGACAGGCAUUGGAGUACUUAUUUGCUAGAGUGUGGGAGAGGUAGGGGGAAUUCCUCAUGGAGCGGUGAAAUGCGUAGAGAUGAGGAGGAACACUGGUGGCGAAAGCGCCCUACU